UACAGAGGUGGCAAGCGUUGUUCGGAAUUACUGGGCGUAAAGGGCGCGUAGGCGGUUCGUUAAGUCCUGUGUGAAAUCCCCCGGCUCAACUGGGGAACUGCACAGGAAACUAGCGGGCUUGAGUUCGGGAGAGGGAAGCGGAAUUCCGGGUGUAGCGGUGAAAUGCGUAGAUAUCGAGAGGAACACCAGUGGCGAAGGCGAGUCCCUGGACAACACCUGACACUGAGGCACGAAAGCUAGGGGAGCAAACAGG
rnacentral:rRNA from 1 species